GGAGAGGUGGCCGAGCGGCCGAAGGCGGCAGAUUGCUAAUCUGCUGAGGGGCUAUCCUGCUCCUCCCCGGGUUCGAAUCCCGGCCUCUCCGCCA
rnacentral:tRNA from 1 species